rnacentral:lncRNA from 1 species
CGUGAAGCAGACGAACCGACGUGGCCGAACGGAUCCUCACGUUCUGACACGCCUGCGGAACUCUAUCGAGACGAAGCAAACCGAAACUACAGUCAACACACAAUAUUCACCACGACACAUACACGACAUGAUGCAUACCCUAAUAUGAUGCAUGCUCAGUUCAAUUAUGCAAGGCAUGGCAUGGCAAUUCACACAAUCAAACACUAUACAUUAAGUGAAGCUCAAUAUGCAACGAAUUGCAUAUUGACGAAACUCCACAUACGAAUUAUAUAGUUCACUCCCAUUUAGGUACACGACAAUAUUAAAUGUUGUUAAACAUGGCAAGGGGUGAAGCACAAAUAAACUACCUAUCUAAGCGUUUUAAAUGAGGUUGGAAACGACAUAUAGCAUCUCCGAACUGACCCCAUGUGUUACUUUCGAAACCUGCCCAGAUUUGUCCUAAACACCUUUUAAGUUUGUUAAACGGCAAAUUAAAGUGGAGCACAUCAAACUACACGUCAUUCUAGUCAGUUUACCUAUAUAGCUCAUAUCCAACGGAGUUACGGUCGAAGAGAUACGAGCAACACAAGAUCAUGUGACAUGGAUGCAACAUGCAUGCAAAAUAAAAAAAAGAUACACAAGGUGAAAAUAAAAGAGAGGCCAAGGGAAUUUGAUCCCUAGACCU